UUUCGAGGUCGGUUCAUGACCGCGAGGUCGGUAUUCCCCUCUGGUUUUGGUGUGGCGGCGGCUUCUUCUCGCCGAACGAGCUCCUGCCCACUUUAACUCCUCUGCGCAGGCCUACGCCGCUAGCCCUAAACCGAGUCGUCGAUGCGCUUCUCAGCAUCCUCGCCUUGACCUCCUCUUCGAUCUGAAACAUCAGCGACCAGGUGAGUCCAGCCCACCAUGCCCAUAUCUCUCUAUCCAAACCAAAUCAGGCCGUGGCGAACCCUAGCGCGAUAGGCGACCGUGCGGCGAGAUUGAGGCUGACGACGGUGGCCGCAGGAUGUGGAUGAUGACUGCUACUUUCAUGGAUAGAAAGAUUGUCCAAAUCGCCAGAGGAUGUAUAGUUUGGAGUGGACAUCCAUUACUCUGAACCCAAUGGCUUUCAAAGGCGGAAGAGUUUGGGGUGGAGGAAUAUAGAGAGGGUAUCAACAUUCAUAGAAGAGGAGCACAAGGUGGCGGCGUGGCAGCGUGGGUCGUCCUCUAUUUUGUCCGUGGUGUGUCGCGGUCAGCAUCAUACUCAAUGAUCUUUCGGUGGUAUGGUGCCAUCGACGGGCAGCGACACGCUUCUGGUAUCUGGCUACCCUAGAAUAGGUGGAGGUCAUGGGCGGUGGAGUGUCACCAAGAGCUCGAGCACAGCAGAGUCAGACAUGAGAUAGCGGAGAUAGAGGUCGGUGUCUAAGGUGAGCUCGUGGCAGCCUGGAGCAUGUAUUAUCACACUUUUUUUUUGAGAAAAUACGGCACUUUAUUAAUCAUAACAAAUCAUUACACAGAGUUUUCCGGAUACAUUCCGGAGCAGAAAGUCUAAAAGUACAAGAGACAAAACGCUCAGCUGAGCGAGCUAAAACGUGUGCCGCUUCAUUACAUUGUCACACUUAGAAAGUCUAUCUUCACUUGAUAAGUUUCUAUUGUGAGAAGAAUAAUACUUGGUUACAUCGUUUAUAAUCUAUAAAAAAUACUACUACUACUUGUUCCUAUGAAAUUACCCAUAUUUAUGUAUUAGAAAAAUACUACAGAGCUUCUGAGAGAGGCCCUAACUAUCGUGGAUCGCUGACCAUCUGUUGAGCAUAACUCUGAAAAUUCUUGAGAGGUAUAUCCCUUCUUUCGUUCCUGCAAUCUACAUUUUGAAGAGCAUACAUUCAGACCUUGUUUGUCCCAUUCACAUCAGGACACCUCCAUAAGGGUGUCUUUGGUGAUUACAUUUGAUUGUGUAUAAGACAUUCCAAUUAGUAAAAGGUAAGUUAGUACAAACAUAUAAAUGAAUUCAGCUGGGCAACCCCCAUUGUCCAUAAGUUGUUCAUUAUCUUGACGAAAAAGUUAACAUGUCCUGUUAGAUAUCAAGGUUGUUAUGGCUAGAAAAUCUGAAGUGGUCACUGAGAUUUCAAAUAGAUAAUUUCAUAUAGCACAUUGUUUCCCUUUGUAUCGAUGAUCUUGCAAAUGAGUGUAUAUCUUAUAAUACUAUUUCCAUUCCCGCACCAUAAAUGCUGUAAAGUGACCAUGCUUAUCCAGUUAUCCUCCCGGAUUGAUAGUGGGAAUGUUAUUUUUCAUGGAGUAAAAUGACAAAAUACUUUAAGGCCAUGGCGCCCAUGGAGUUUUCAUCACCUACGACUAGAUGUAUUACAAGUAAUGUAGGUACUUUGGUGUAGAAAUUAGUCAUCACCCUCGAUGCCUUAUUUUACCAAGUCAUAGCAUUUUUUUUUGUUAUGUACAUCCUGCAUAGAUAUCUAGCACAUCAGAGAUCCUUAGAACCAUUACAAAUGCAAUGUCCAUUCCACACUUUCAUUGCUUAUGAAAACUAAUAGUGCAAACCAUCUUAUUGUUGCUUCUUCCUAGGAUAAAUCUUUGUCACAAGGAUACUUAUAUAUAUACCUGGAAUCUGUGAUAGAUGAUUGAUGUAAGCUGCCACUAUAGUAGCAAUGCAAUAAAAGGGACAUAAUUCAUGUUCUUAAUAUUGUUGAUAUUUACUCAUGAUUUAUUGUUUUUUUUCUUGAGACCACAAACCACAUUGUUGAAAGAAGGAACUCCAUUCGCUGCUAAGGACCAAAUCAUACAUAUCAGAUCCAUUUACUCGCUGGAAAGAAAUUGACAAGGGGAUCAGCUUACACGUAAUUGGAAGUAUGUGUCAUAGGAAGUAGUGGUCUAACUCUCGGAUCAACAGGAUUAUUGCUGUCAAAGAAAAUUGCAUAUGCAUAUAUGUUUUUAGCUCACAAUCAUACUUAAGAUACAUUGAUGUUGGCGUCUGAUUUAGCAUAUCCUGUAUCAGACCAUGCCUUUUGCUUCCAUUACAUAUGUCCGUUGAUUGCAGGUUUUUAUAAAGUGGUUAGACAUUCAAAGCCUUUGUUCAGUAUAGAUAUUAUUUGUCUAAAUACUUUCGAACUUACAUAUUCACAGCUGUUGUUCACCAUACAUAUUAUUCACAAUAUCGGAGGUGCAAAGUUGAGCCAAGGCAUUGACUUCUCAUAUGCAUAUGUGUGCCAUAGAUGUCAGAUUGUGACACUGUUCUGAUGAAGGUCUCGAUGGUCUAUUUUGUGUGUUUUAGUCACAUGGGGUUCCUGCAUGAUCGCCAUGGGCACGGUAUUGAGCUUGGUUGGAGCAGCAAGAUCUGUUGUUGCCACUUACUUCUAUUGCAAUUAUUUGUGUACCUGACUUCAUGAAACUAAUGUGAAAAUCAGCUAUCAGCCAGAACACUUCUUUUCCAGCAGUACGAGAACCCAGGAGAUAGUUAAGUUGAUGAUUUUGUUUUUUAUUUUCAGAUUCGUGGUCAUUGUUAAUUUAUUAUGGUUUGGUCAUCUGAGAAUAGGGAGGGGCAUGCCUUCCACAACAGUCCAUAGUCCAGAUUAUAAGUAUAGACGUUUAAACAUCAGAGAUCCUAAUUGGCUCAUUUUUAUACCACAAUUGUCACUAUAUAUCUCUUAAACAAUUGUGCUCUAUACCAUAAUUGUCAAUGUAUCA